rnacentral:rRNA from 1 species
GACGAACGCUGGCGGCGUGCUUAACACAUGCAAGUCGAACGGAAAGGCUCUGUUUUGUUGGUGUGCUCGAGUGGCGAACGGGUGAGUAAGACGGGAUUAACUUGCCCUGGACUUUGGGAUAACUUCAGGAAACUGGGGCUAAUACAGGAUAGGUGCUCCUGCUGAAUGGUGGAGAUUGGAAAGUUCCGGCGGUUGGGGAUGGACACGCGGCUGAUGGGCUUGUUGGUGGGGUAGUGGCUUACCAAGGCAUUGACGGGUAGCCGGACUGAGAGGGUGACGGGAUACGACGGGACUGAGAUACGGCCAAGACACCUACGUGAGGCAGAAGUAGGGAAGAUGUCACCAUGGGAGGAGGAGGAAUGCAGCAACAUCGCGUGCGGGAUAACGGCCUUCGAGUUGUAACCUGAUUUCGGCUGUGACGACGCGUGAGUGACGGUACUAUGCAAAGAAGGACCGGCUAACUACGUG